rnacentral:rRNA from 1 species
AUUGAACGCUGGCGGCAUGCUUUACACAUGCAAGUCGAACGGUAGAGGGGCAACCCUUGAGAGUGGCGAACGGGUGAGUAAUGCAUCGGAACGUGCCCAGUAGUGGGGGAUAGCCCGGCGAAAGCCGGAUUAAUACCGCAUGAGACCUGAGGGUGAAAGCGGGGGAUUGCAAGACCUCGCGCUAUUGGAGCGGCCGAUGUCAGAUUAGCUAGUUGGUGGGGUAAAGGCCUACCAAGGCGACGAUCUGUAGCUGGUCUGAGAGGACGACCAGCCAUACUGGGACUGAGACACGGCCCAGACUCGUACGUGAGGCAGCAGUGGGAAUUUUGGACAAUGGGCGCAAGCCUGAUCCAGCCAUGCCGCGUGCGGGAAGAAGGCCUUCGGGUUGUAAACCGCUUUUGUCAGGGAAGAAAUCUUCUGGGCUAAUACCCUGGGAGGAUGACGGUACCUGAAGAAUAAGCACCGGCUAACUACGUGCCAGCCGCCGCGGUAACAC